CCUACGGGAGGCAGCAGUGGGGAAUUUUCCGCAAUGGGCGAAAGCCUGACGGAGCAACGCCGCGUGAGGGAUGAAGGCCUCUGGGCUGUAAACCUCUUUUAUCAAGGAAGAAGAUCUGACGGUACUUGAUGAAUAAGCCACGGCUAAUUCCGUGCCAGCAGCCGCGGUAAUACGGGAGUGGCAAGCGUUAUCCGGAAUUAUUGGGCGUAAAGCGUCCGCAGGCGGCCCUUCAAGUCUGCUGUUAAAAAGUGGAGCUUAACUCCAUCAUGGCAGUGGAAACUGUUGGGCUUGAGUGUGGUAGGGGCAGAGGGAAUUCCCGGUGUAGCGGUGAAAUGCGUAGAUAUCGGGAAGAACACCAGUGGCGAAGGCGCUCUGCUGGGCCAUCACUGACGCUCAUGGACGAAAGCCAGGGGAGCGAAAGGGAUUAGAUACCCCUGUAGUCCUGGCCGUAAACGAUGAACACUAGGUGUCGGGGGAAUCGACCCCUCCGGUGUCGUAGCCAACGCGUUAAGUGUUCCGCCUGGGGAGUACGCACGCAAGUGUGAAACUCAAAUGAAUUGACGG
rnacentral:rRNA from 1 species